GCUUCAUGCUAAAUCUACAUCAUGCUGAUAGAAUAUAGCACAGUAAUUGAACUGGACUUGAAGGCAAUCAGAAAAAUGCAGAAAAAUGAAUAUUAUCUUAAUGAAUACUAUUGGUUGCAAGGGGAAAUUGGAAUAACUAAAGCCCAGAAUGAAAAGCAUAAGCCUUCUCUUGUGAUAAAACACAUCCACCAAAUUAUCUUCUUCUUUGUUUUU
rnacentral:misc_RNA from 1 species